CAGAGUCCACAUUGCUGUGGCCACUCCAAUGUGCUGUGACUUUCAGCUUAAUCCAACUUGGGGUGUUAUAUGACUGAGUUCCUACAGAAUACCAUAGGCUCCAGAAGAUAAAAAGCUUGAAGGAUGCAGUUAGUUUAAGCAUGGCCGAAACUGGGAGUUCAGGUCCCCUUUGAGAGGAGCUUGUCUCUGUCUACUCCACGGGAUGCCUGGUAGAGUUGGGACAUCUAAGAUGUCAUCACCACUCACACGGCACCUCAGCAAGGAUG
rnacentral:lncRNA from 1 species